CUUCAGUGAACAUUCAACGCUGUCGGUGAGUUUGGAAUUAAAAAUCAAAACCAUCGACCGUUGAUUGUACCCUAUGG
rfam:Ovis aries breed Texel chromosome 12, whole genome shotgun sequence.